rnacentral:rRNA from 1 species
GACGAACGCUGGCGGCGUGCUUAACACAUGCAAGUCGAACGGAAAGGCCCUGCUUUUGUGGGGUGCUCGAGUGGCGAACGGGUGAGUAACACGUGAGUAACCUGCCCUUGACUUUGGGAUAACUUCAGGAAACUGGGGCUAAUACCGGAUAGGAUCUCCUGCUGCAUGGUGGGGGUUGGAAAGUUUCGGCGGUUUGGGAUGGACUCGCGGCUUAUCCGCUUGUUGGUGGGGUAGUGGCUUACCAAGGCUUUGACGGGUAGCCGGCCUGGGAGGGUGAACGGCGACAUGGGGACUAAGAGACGGCGCAGACGCCUACGGGAGGCAGCAGGGGGGAGUAUUGCACAAUGGGCGGGAGCCUGAUGCAGCAGCGCCGCGUGCGUGAUGACGUCCUUCGGGUUGUGAACCGAUGUCGCCUGUGACGAAGCGUGAGUGACGGUAAUGGGUAAAGAAGCACCGGCUAACUACGUG